CUCCUUCUUCGCGACCGGAGAAGAUCGGCCUUCAAUCAACAGAGAAAACCCUAGGUCCAACACCGGAAACCCUAGGUUCUGAAACUCACCGGAAUAAGGUCACAGACGCCGGAAAGUUACCCAAAACGUCCAUCAAGCGAAGAAAAAAGUCAUCAGAUAACACCAAAACUCUAGGUCCGAAAGUCGGAAACCCUAGAAUUUGAAGAACUCGUCCGAACAAAGUCAGAGAUAUCGAAAAAUCACCCAAAACAUCUACUGAUACAGGAUCGGAGCCUCAAACAGUCAGAAAAGUCCCGAUUAACCGAUUAACAUUCAUCGAAAAAAUAUACGAACAGUAUUUUUCUCAGAUAACCGAAGAAAAACUUCAGCGAAAGCUUCAUCAAGUAUCGAUAACACGUAACAAAGAAGGAUCAUCNNNNNNNNNNNNNNNNNNNNNNNNNNNNAACUCUAGGUCCGAAAGUCGGAAAACCCUAGAAUUUGAAGAACUCGUCGGAACAAAGUCAGAGAUAUCGAAAAAUCACCCAAAACAUCUACUGAUACAGGAUCGGAGCCUCAAACAGUCAGAAAAGUCCCGAUUAACCGAUUAACAUGCAUCGGAAAAAAAAUAUACGAACAGUAUUUUUCUCAGAUAACCGAAGAUAAAACUUUAGCAAAAGCUUCAUCAAGUAUCGAUAACACAUAACAGAGAAAGAUCGGAAGAUUUUCCCGCUCUGAUACCAUGAAAACAUGAAGAAUUAAAGAUGAAAAUCAGAGAAGAUGAAUCGAUAACACAUAACAGAGAAAGAUCGGAAGAUUUUCCCGCUCUGAUACCAUGAAAACAUGAAGAUUUAAAGAUGAAAAUCAGAGAAGAUGAAGAUGAACAGCAAGAGAGACAGAGAGAGAAACGGAAGCUUCUGGAGAAAGCCAGAAGACAAAUG
rnacentral:lncRNA from 1 species